rnacentral:misc_RNA from 1 species
UUUCCGUAGGUGAACCCGCGGAAGGAUCAUUAUUGUAUAACCGAGGUGCGAGGGCUGUCGCUGACCCGAAAGGUCGUGCACGCCCGAGUGCCCUCACACACAUCCAUCUCACCCCUAUGUGCACCACCGCGUGGGUCCCCCUUUGGCUUGUUCGGAGGGGGGCUUACGUUUUCACACAAACUUUGUAUGCAGUGUAGAAUGUAUUUUUUGUUUUUGCGAUCACGCAAUCAAUACAACUUUCAACAACGGAUCUCUUGGCUCUCGCAUCGAGGAAGAACGCAGC